AGCAGUCGCCACGGUAAUACGGAGGGUGCAAGCGUUAAUCGGAAUUACUGGGCGUAAAGCGUGCGUAGGCGGUUCGUUAAGUCUGUUGUGAAAGCCCCGGGCUCAACCUGGGAAUGGCAAUGGAUACUGGCGAGCUAGAGUGUGUCAGAGGAUGGUGGAAUUCCCGGUGUAGCGGUGAAAUGCGUAGAGAUCGGGAGGAACAUCAGUGGCGAAGGCGGCCAUCUAGGACAACACUGACGCUGAGGCACGAAAGCGUGGGGAGCAAACAGGAUUAGAGACCCCCGUAGUCCCUGUCUCUUAUAC
rnacentral:rRNA from 1 species